rnacentral:rRNA from 1 species
AAGCGGUGGAUGAUGUGGUUUAAUUCGAUGCAACGCGAAAACCUUACCCUACCUUUGACAUGGCAGGAAUCCCGAAGAGAUUUGGGAGUGCUCGAAAGAGAACCUGCACACAGGUGCUGCAUGGCUGUCGUCAGCUCGUGUCGUGAGAUGUUGGGUUAAGUCCCGCAACGAGCGCAACCCUUGUCAUUAGUUGCCAUCAUUUGGUUGGGCACUCUAAUGAGACUGCCGGUGACAAACCGGAGGAAGGUGGGGAUGACGUCAAGUCCUCAUGGCCCUUAUGGGUAGGGCUUCACACGUCAUACAAUGGUCGGUACAGAGGGUUGCCAACCCGCGAGGGGGAGCUAAUCCCACAAAGCCGAUCGUAGUCCGGAUCGCAGUCUGCAACUCGACUGCGUGAAGUCGGAAUCGCUAGUAAUCGUGGAUCAGCAUGUCACGGUGAAUACGUUCCCGGGUCUU